rnacentral:lncRNA from 1 species
CCCGGCAUCUUUUCCUCCAAGAACUUACCACCUUGCUCUUGGAGAGACUCGAACUCACAACCUCUCGGUUGGAAGUGGGGGUUGCUUACCAUCAGAACAAUCCCUCUUGUCAACACAUAUUUAUGUUCCAUGUCGAAAAUAUUGGUUUCAUCUACAUCCACCAUUGCUUGAUCCUUCUCCCCCAAAUAACCUCUCAUCAG